UACGGGGGGGGUAAGCGUUGUUCGGAAUUACUGGGCGUAAAGCGCGCGUAGGCGGAUCUGCAAGUCGGGGGUGAAAGCCCGAGGCUCAACCUCGGAACUGCCUUCGAUACUGCGGGUCUCGAGUCCGGGAGAGGUGAGUGGAAUUCCUAGUGUAGAGGUGAAAUUCGUAGAUAUUAGGAAGAACACCAGUGGCGAAGGCGGCUCACUGGCCCGGUACUGACGCUGAGGCGCGAAAGCUAGGGGAGCAAACGGG
rnacentral:rRNA from 1 species